rnacentral:rRNA from 1 species
CCCCAGGUCAGGCGGGGCUACCCGCUGAAUUUAAGCAUAUCAAUAAGCGGAGGAAAAGAAACNNACAAGGAUUCCCCUAGUAA